UAUUCUGUUCAUUGUAAACCCUCUGGCUCGUUUCCUUUUCCGAAGCUCCUUCUUCUGGAAUCGUUCUUUUUUCUGUUCCCUGUUCUUAAAAUGACACAAUUUGUGCAGUAAUGUUUGACUUUCCAGGCUGAAAUAAUGUGCAAUGUAUUUAUUAACAGGAGAUCUAAAGAAACCACUGUGGGCAGAGUAUUUCCCUGAGUGACUCACCUCUUUCCCCUUCACAGAUUAAAGUUUCCUAUCUGAGGGUUGUUUUCUGCUGGGAUUUCCAGACUAUAAAAACACCAUUUGUGUCCUCAGAUUUAGAAGGAGACAAGGUGGGUGAGGAGAAGAUAGGCAGACCCCAAGGAAAGCAGGAAUCAAGCUGACAGGGCACAGGAUCAGGAACUUGGGAGACUCAGGAACCACGCAGGUGAACAGGAAUUUUAAACUGGACAUUUUGACAGCUAGCAGGGUUGAUGGAGACACUGAAACAUGAGCCAGCACAGAGCCCACAGAAAGUGAUUUUCAGAGGUAAAUUGCUGACCAGAGCAAACCAGCCUGUGUUCAAGGUAUGU